GACGAACCCGUGCGAACGUUGUUCGGAAUCACUGGGCUUAAAGGGCGCGUAGGCGGGCCCUCAAGUCCGGGGUGAAAUCCUCCCGCCUAACGGGAGAAGAGCCUCGGAGACUGGGGGGCCUCGAGGGGGUAGGGCGGUGCGGACUAUGGGUGGAGCGGUGAAAUAGCAUUGAUAUCCAUAGGAACUCCGGUGGCGAAGGCGGCACGCUGGACCCCUUCUGACGCUGAGGCGCGAAAGCCAGGGGAGCAAACGGGAUUAGAUACCCCGUGU
rnacentral:rRNA from 1 species